AUUGAACGCUGGCGACAGGCUUAACACAUGCAAGUCGAACGAGUGGCGGACGGGCGAGCAAUGCUGGGGAAUCUAGCUUAUGGAGGGGGCUAACGACGAGAAACUGUAUCCAAUACCGCGUACCAUAGUAUGAGCCCAAGUGGGAUUAGGUGGUUGGUGAGGUAAAGGCUCACCAAGCAGUCAAUCUCUAGCUGGGCUGAGAGGAUGACCAGCCACACUGGGACUGAGACACGGCCCAGACGCCGACGGGAGGCAGCAGUGGGGAAUAUUGCGCAAUGGGGGCAACCUGACGCAGCCAUGCCGCGUGAAUGAAGAAGGCCUUCGGGUUGUAAAGUUCUUUCGGUAGCGAGGCGUUACCUACAGAAGAAGCACCGGCUAACUCCGUGCCAGCAGCCGCGGUAAUAC
rnacentral:rRNA from 1 species